rnacentral:rRNA from 1 species
GAGACUCUGUGCGCGUGCAUAUCAAUAAGCGGAGGAAAAGAAACUAACAAGGAUUCCCCUAGUAACGGCGAGUGAAGCGGGAAGAGCUCAAAUUUGAAAUCUUAAAGGGUUUCCCUUUACGAAUUGUAGUUUAAAGAAGUGUUUUCUGUUGGAGUUUCGGUAAAAGUUCUUUGGAAUAGGACAUCAUAGAGGGUGAGAAUCCCGUAUUUGACCGUUACUUUCCAGCUGUGUGAUACACUUUCAAAGAGUCGGAUUGUUUGGGAAUGCAGUCCAAAGAUGGGUGGUAAAUUUCAUCUAAAGCUAAAUAUUGGCGAGAGACCGAUAGCGAACAAGUACCGUGAGGGAAAGAUGAAAAGAACUUUGAAAAGAGAGUUAAACAGUACGUGAAAUUGUCAAAAGGGAAGCGUUUUGACACCAGUGUUGUUUAGUUGAAAAUCAAUUCAAUAGUUUUUGAUUCUAAGUAGUAUUGACUUCAUCAGCUUGCUGCUUUCUUUCUCAGAAAUUAUUGAAUGCACUUUUCAGUUAACAAGUCAACAUCAAUUUCUUUUGUUGUAAAAGGGUAAGAGGAAGGUGGCUUGCGCUUCGGCUCAAGUGUUUAUAGCCUUUUAUCUCUGCAAUCGGAGAGAUUGAGGUCUGCAGCGUAGAUCCUUCGGGGUUAGAUACAUUGGUGCUAAGCUAUAGCCUUGUAUAGACAACUUGUUGACUAUGCUCAGUCAUGUAGCUUACUCGCUGAUGCUAUUUUACCUACGCUUAGGAUGUUGACAGCAGUAUAGACUGU